CCAGCCAGCAAUGUUUUUUUAGCCGGCACAGUGGGUCGCCACACGGGAAAUCACACAGAUCCCGGCGCCUUUUCAACAGCAGACUGGAACACUUGGGAGACAGAGUUGACCGUUCAAC